UACGUAGGGACCAAGCGUUGUUCGGAUUUACUGGGCGUAAAGAGCGCGUAGGCGGCAAUUCAAGUCAGCUGUGAAAUCUCCGGGCUUAACUCGGAACGGUCAAGUGAUACUGUCGGACUAGAGUACAGAAGGGGCAACUGGAAUUCUCGGUGUAGCGGUGAAAUGCGUAGAUAUCGAGAGGAACACCUGCGGCGAAGCGGGUUGCUGGGCUGAUACUGACGCUGAGGCGCGAAAGCCAGGGGAGCGAACGGG
rnacentral:rRNA from 1 species